GAAACCAGGUGGGGGCAAUUUAUACAUAAUCAUAUCAGAAGAAAAAUUAUGUGAUGGGGGCAUUGGUAUACAAUAUAUACAUGAUCAGAAGAAAAAUUACGUGGGGUCAAAUGCCCCUAUAGUGUCUAACGUAGAUCCGUCUCUGCCAGACACUAACUCUUCUCGCCCCAAAACCUGUGAAGUCUCGUCCCGAACCCUAUAAACUCCCUUGACUAUGACACCAACUUAGGGUCCACAAGUAUUAUACACUUAAGGCUUCUCAACUUUGAAAAUUUUCAAGAGAUUCUUCUCUUAUGGAUUCUAUUGAGAAUUAUCAAGCAAAGCUUGGUGGCUUCUCCUCCUAGACUUAUGACUCUUAGAGUUUGGAACCAUAAUCACCUCUACCUUUCACUUUGAUGUUUCUUCCCUUUUUGUUUUGAAAAAGAGAAGUAAAUAUCAACCUCUCUCAACAUGGGUAAAGCAACAUGGCCAACAAAUUAAAAAGGCAACCAAAAACAUGCAACCAACAACAAAAACCCUUCCAAAAACCUCUAAAACCCCACAAACACCCAACCAACACCCAUCCAAAGAAUCCUAUAGAGCAAACCAAAACCCAACAUCAAGCCACCCGCCGUCAAAAGUUGAUAAACAUAAAAAUAGAAAGAAAAAAAAAACUAAGAGAACCAAUUGAAGCUUUAGAACCAACACGAAGCAAGGGGGAGCGAAAACCCAAGACCAAAGAUCCAAAAGCAUGAAAAGGUAAGGAGGAGCAUCAAAGAACCCAAAUCCACCACACUCGAGGUCAAACCCAAAAGGAACCACCCGAUCCGUGUUGGGAGACCAAGUCCCACCCAAAGAUGUUGCACCCAGUCAAGAUUUGUGCAAUGAGGGUGGAAACGGGACUAGUAGACUACCAUAUGACCAUCAAUAGGAAGGAACCUACUGAACAGAAUUCCACCAACCGUCGUUGAUCUAAUGAGAAACCCUUUGAAUCCUCAAUCCUCGAUCGCUCAAGGGAAGAGGUAAAUCUUCGCAGCCGCCAGAACGCACACUGCCCAAGGAGCGACACUUCAAGAAGACCAGCGAACAUGGCGAGGAAGGAUUAGAGGAAAGAUAAAAUGAAGAUGGAGAUAUUUGUUUGGAAGGGUGAAUUGAAGCUUGGAUGCUUGUUUGGAAGGGGGAAUUGAAUCUUGAUAUGCUUGAUGAAAGUGCAGUGACCGAAUUCAUGAGUGUACAAGAAGUACAAUCAAUGAGGGUUGUCUCCAUGUGGAACAUGAAGAUGAAUACAAAAGCUAAGAUGACCUACGACCUAAAAGUUAAGCUGGUACGUAGCUUAUGUUAUUUUGUCUUAAGGAGGAAUAAAAACGAAAAGGAAAUAAGAUUGAGGGGUUCAUUA